rnacentral:rRNA from 1 species
GACGUAGGAUGCAAGCGUUGUCCGGAAUUAUUGGGCGUAAAGAGUUCGUAGGCGGUUAUCUAAGUCUGGUGUUAAAGACGGGAGCUCAACUCCCGCAUGGCAUUGGAAACUGGGUGACUAGAGUGUGGUAGAGGUCUCGGGAAUUCCUGGUGUAGCGGUGGAAUGCGCAGAUAUCAGGAGGAACACCAAUAGCGAAGGCAGCUCGCUGGGACGGUACUGACGCUAAGGCGCGAAAGCGUGGGGAGCGAACAGG